rnacentral:rRNA from 1 species
UCCAGACUCCUACGGGAGGCAGCAGUGGGGGAUAUUGCACAAUGGGGGAAACCCUGAUGCAGCGACGCCGCGUGGGCGAAGAAGUAUUUCGGUAUGUAAAGCCCUAUCAGCAGGGAAGAAGAAAUGACGGUACCUGAGUAAGAAGCACCGGCUAAAUACGUGCCAGCAGCCGCGGUAAUACGUAUGGUGCAAGCGUUAUCCGGAUUUACUGGGUGUAAAGGGAGCGUAGGCGGUUUAGCAAGUCAGAAGUGAAAGCCCGGGGCUCAACUCCGGGACUGCUUUUGAAACUGUUGAACUAGAUUGCAGGAGAGGUAAGUGGAAUUCCUAGUGUAGCGGUGAAAUGCGUAGAUAUUAGGAGGAACACCAGUGGCGAAGGCGGCUUACUGGACUGUAAAUGACGCUGAGGCUCGAAAGCGUGGGGAGCAAACAGGAUUAGAUACCCUAGUAA